rnacentral:rRNA from 1 species
GAUGAACGCUGGCGGCGUGCCUAAUACAUGCAAGUCGAGCGAACAGACGAGGCGCUUGCUCCUCUGACGUUAGCGGCGGACGGGUGAGUAACACGUGGAUAACCUACCUAUAAGACUGGGAUAACUUCGGGAAACCGGAGCUAAUACCGGAUAAUAUAUUGAACCGCAUGGUUCAAUAGUGAAAGACGGUUUUGCUGUCACUUAUAGAUGGAUCCGCGCCGCAUUAGGUAGUUGGUAAGGUAACGGCUUACCAAGGCAACGAUGCGUAGCCGACCUGAGAGGGGGAUCGGCCACACUGGAACUGAGACACGGUCCAGACCACUACGGGAGGCAGCAGUAGGGAAUCUUCCGCAAUGGGCGAAAGCCUGACGGAGCAACGCCGCGUGAGUGAUGAAGGUCUUCGGAGCGUAAAACUCUGUUAUUAGGGAAGAACAAAUGUGUAAGUAAAUAUGCACGUCUUGACGGUACCUAAUCAGAAAGCCACGGCUAACUACGUG